CCGGCCUGCUUAUCUUGUGCGUUUUGCAGCGACUAUCAGUGAAAAUGCACAAGAGGAUUCCAGCGCUUGUUAUCUCUGUAGCUCCGAAAUGCGUUCUCCUGCUGUUUGCAUCUACUCUACAGACUGAUAUGAACGUCAUCCUUCUUUUUCAGCGUACCCAGAAUCCCCUGGGCUUUUGUGAUGGCCGAGGCCUGUGGUCUCAUCUUGUGUUACAUGUUUUUGUUGAUCCUGCUCCUUCACAAGCACAGGUCAAUUCUCCUCAGACGGCUGUGUUCUCUGAUGGGAACAGUGUUUUUGCUUCGGUGCUGCACCAUGUUUGUCACCUCGCUCUCUGUGCCUGGGCAGCACCUGAAAUGUGCCAGCCUGUCAUAUGGUGAUACCUGGGGGAAGAUCCAGAGAGCGCUGGCUA